CUUGAGUAAAGGGUGGUUCCUAAGGGAAACCAUUGGUGGAUGCAGGACCAUGCCGUCCUACUUCCAGUUCAAUCUCGACCGAUGGCACAUCCGGAUUGGGAAUCGCCUACUUUUAAAACACACCAUGAACUCAAGAUUACCCUCUAAUGGCGGCUGUAUCCUUGAGCUGCCCCUUCCUUCCCUCUGCAACUUCUUUACUCUCACAUUGUAAGAGGAGGAAUGUAUUACCGACAAAACCAAUUGUUCAAUCCUACUUGCCCCCUUCGCCUUCAAAGUUUUACAGGCCUUACGCAAGCGUGCUGAUAGUUCCCACUGGGGUUGGUGCCUCCAUCGGUGGCUAUGCUGGAGAUGCUUUGCCUGUUGCUCGAGCUCUCUCUUCCAUUGUCGACACUCUCAUCUCACACCCCAAUGUGUUAAAUGCUGCGAUGCUGUACUGGCCAAUGCCAAACACUCUGUAUGUUGAAGGGUAUGCACUCGACAGAUUUGCAGAAGGGAUCUGGGCACUUCAACCUGUUCUUCAAAACAAGGUGGGUCUGGUUUUGGAUAGUGGAAUAGAGGAGGAGUUGAGAAUUCGCCAUUUGCAGGUGGCCGAUGCAGCAAGGGCUUCCCUUGGCCUUCCUCUUUGGGAUUACAUUGUUACAGACACCCCUCUUGAGGUUGAGAAAUGGGUCAAUCCUGUGUCUGGCCAAUCAACAGGACGAAUCAGGCAUCCAGAUUCAUUACUAAGGUCAGUAGACUCUUUAGUUAGAUAUUCUCAAGUUAAUGCUGUGGCAGUUGUGGGGCGGUUUCCUGAUGAUGGUCUGGAAGACAUAGAUGAUUAUCGUCAUGGAAAGGGUAUAGAUUUGUUGGCAGGAGUGGAGGCUGUUAUAAGCCAUCUAGUUGUUCAGAAAUUUCAGAUCCCCUGUGCUCAUGCUCCUGCUCUGUCUCCUGUCCCACUAGAUCCAACUUUAUGCCCAAAAUCGGCAGCUGAAGAGAUCGGAUACACCUUUUUACCAUGUAUCCUUGCUGGGUUAAGCAGAGCACCCCAAUAUGUGGUGAGAGGUGCAGGUUCCUCAGAGAGUGGUUGCCUUUUGUCAAGUGAUGUGGAUAGUGUGAUUGUGCCCAUCGAUGCUUGUGGUGGGGAAGGUACUCUGGCAUUUGCAAAACAAGCUAAAAAGAAGCCUCUGAUCAUUGCUGUCGAGGAGAAUGAAACCGUACUGAAUGAAACACCUGACAAACUUGGGAUUGAGGCAGUUAAAGUCUCAAAUUAUUGGGAAGCUUUAGGGAUCAUUGCAGCCCACAAAGCUGGAAUAAAUCCCCAUUCUCUGAGAAGAAAUGGCAUUGAUAGGACCAAAUGCUUUAUGGAAAUGUCUUCAUCUAAUGGCUGUGUGGCUUCUAGCCCUUUAUAGCGGCGUUCCUCAACCAUGUUGAUAUUUUACUUACCCAUGGAAGGCUGAAAGGUGGCAACAAAUCUUUAAAUGGACGUGGGAAGUUGGACAACUUUUAAGAUUAUGACACAGUGAUUUAGUACAGGUUAUAUGCUAACUUUGAUGAUGCCAAAGGGUACUGUUGUGGAGGUUCCUAGUUAACAUGAAAAUUUCAUAUGAGAUGAUUGGUCGGGGUGGGCUGUCUCUCAUCUGCCAUUGAUUUGCUGGCUGACCAUCCCCACCGUUCAUUGGGCAUUUACCUGGCCUGUCAUCUCAUGAGAUAGGUUUACUAGCUGUUUUUUGAGGGUUACAAUAAAUUUUCACAGUGGCUCUUUCAAGAGAUCUGGGAUGGGGCCCUUCAUCUAUGGUUUUAUUGGAGAAUGCAUGGUCGUCAACAUCUUUGCCCUCACAACUCUACCUCAACUUGGCUGACAAUGGAUGAUUUGUAUUCCAUGGGAAAGCUAGCCACCCAUGAACUCGGUUGAUUGUUUCUGUCACUAAAAAUAUUAGCAGAGAUUAUUGCCAACAUGUUUCUAUCUGGGCUCUUUAUAAUAAAUCUUG